GGGCCCGCACAAGCAGCGGAGCAUGUGGUUUAAUUCGAAGCAACGCGAAGAACCUUACCUAGACUUGACAUCUCCUGAAUUACCUUUAAUCGGGGAAGUCCCUUCGGGGACAGGAAGACAGGUGGUGCAUGGUUGUCGUCAGCUCGUGUCGUGAGAUGUUGGGUUAAGUCCCGCAACGAGCGCAACCCUUAUUGUUAGUUGCUACCAUUUAGUUGAGCACUCUAGCGAGACUGCCCGGGUUAACCGGGAGGAAGGUGGGGAUGACGUCAAAUCAUCAUGCCCCUUAUGUCUAGGGCUACACACGUGCUACAAUGGCCAGUACAAAUAGAUGCGAUACCGUGAGGUGGAGCCAAACUAUAAAACUGGUCUCAGUUCGGAUUGUAGGCUGAAACUCGCCUACAUGAAGCUGGAGUUGCUAGUAAUCGCGAAUCAGCAUGUCGCGGUGAAUACGUUCCCGGGCCUU
rnacentral:rRNA from 1 species